rnacentral:rRNA from 1 species
GCCCAGACUCCUACGGGAGGCAGCAGUGGGGAAUAUUGCACAAUGGGGGGAACCCUGAUGCAGCGACGCCGCGUGGGUGAAGGAGUAUUUCGGUAUGUAAAGCCCUAUCAGCAGGGAAGAACAAUGACGGUACCUGACUAAGAAGCCCCGGCUAACUACGUGCCAGCAGCCGCGGUAAUACGUAGGGGGCAAGCGUUAUCCGGAUUUACUGGGUGUAAGGGGAGCGUAGACGGCAGUGCAAGUCUGAAGUGAAAGGCGGGGGCCCAACCCCCGGACUGCUUUGGAAACUGUGCUGCUGGAGUGCAGGAGAGGCAAGUGGAAUUCCUAGUGUAGCGGUGAAAUGCGUAGAUAUUAGGAGGAACACCAGUGGCGAAGGCGGCUUGCUGGACUGUAACUGACGUUGAGGCUCGAAAGCGUGGGGAGCAAACAGGAUUAGAUACCCCUGUAUG